GUCUUCAUGGCGCAGUUGGCUAGCGCGUUGGUCUCAUAUGGUUAUCAAUUCAUAUGAUCCGGUCUAAGGCCGGGCUAUCCAGAGGUCGUGAGUUCGAGCCUCACUGAGGACA
rnacentral:tRNA from 1 species